rnacentral:rRNA from 1 species
CUGGCGGCAGGCCUAACACAUGCAAGUCGAACGGUAGCACAGGAGAGCUUGCUCUCUGGGUGACGAGUGGCGGACGGGUGAGUAAUGCAUGGGGAGCUGCCCAAUCGAGGGGGAUACCAGCUGGAAACGGCUGCUAAUACCGCAUACGCCCUGAGGGGGAAAGGUGGGGACCUUCGGGCCUACCGCGAUUGGAUGCACCCAUGUGGGAUUAGCUAGUUGGUGAGGUAACGGCUCACCAAGGCGACGAUCUCUAGCUGGUCUGAGAGGAUGACCAGCCACACUGGAACUGAGACACGGUCCAGACUCCUACGGGAGGCAGCAGUGGGGAAUAUUGCACAAUGGGGGAAACCCUGAUGCAGCCAUGCCGCGUGUGUGAAGAAGGCCUUCGGGUUGUAAAGCACUUUCAGUGGGGAGGAAGGGGUGAUGCCUAAUACGCAUCAUCAUUGACGUUACCCACAGAAGAAGCACCGGCUAACUCCGUG